AUUGAACGCUGGCGGCAGGCCUAACACAUGCAAGUCGAACGCGUGGCGGACGGGUGAGUAAUGUCUGGGAAACUGCCUGAUGGGGGGGGAUAACUACUGGAAACGGUAGCUAAUACCGCAUUACCAGAGAUGUGCACAGAUGGGAUUCGCUUGUUGGGGGGGUAACGGCUCACCAAGGCGACGACCCCUAGCUGGUCUGAGAGGAUUACCAGCCACACUGGAACUGAGGCACGGUCCAGACUCCGACGGGAGGCAGCAGUGGGGAAUAUUGCACAAUGGGCGCAAGCCUUAUGCAGCCAUGCCGCGUGUAUGAAGAAGGCCUUCGGGUUGUAAAGUACUUUCAGCGGGGAGGCGUUACCCGCAGAAGAAGCACCGGCUAACUCCGUGCCAGCAGCCGCGGUAAUAC
rnacentral:rRNA from 1 species